rnacentral:rRNA from 1 species
UACAGAGGUCUCAAGCGUUGUUCGGAUUCAUUGGGCGUAAAGGGCGCGUAGGCGGCGGGGUAAGUCGGGUGUGAAAUCUCAGGGCUCAACCCUGAAACUGCACUCGAUACUGCUCUGCUUGAGGACUGGAGAGGAGACUGGAAUUCACGGUGUAGCAGUGAAAUGCGUAGAUAUCGUGAGGAAGACCAGUGGCGAAGGCGGGUCUCUGGACAGUUCCUGACGCUGAGGCGCAAAGGCCAGGGGAGCAAACGGG